rnacentral:sRNA from 1 species
UUGGCGGUGUUUUUGGUUGGAAUGUAGUGCUUCUAACAGUGCUAAACGCUGCCACAAAAUAACCUGUCAGUUAUUUUCAUCUAAAAAUAA